rnacentral:rRNA from 1 species
AUUGAACGCUGGCGGCAGGCCUAACACAUGCAAGUCGCGCGAGCGGCGGACGGGUGAGUAAUGUCUGGGGACUGCCCGAUAGAGGGGGCUAACUACUGGAAACGGUGGCUAAUACCGCAUACUAUCGGAUAACCCAUAGGGGAUUAGCUAGUAGGUGGGGUAAAGGCUCACCUAGGCUACGAUCUCUAGCUGUUCUGAGAGGAUGAUCAGCAACACUGGGACUGAGACACGGCCCAGACUCCGACGGAGGCAGCAGUGGGGAAUAUUGAACAAUGGGCGCAAGCCGGAUGCAGCCAUGCAGCGUGUAUGAAGAAGGCCUUAGGGUUGUAAAGUACUUUCAGCGGGGAGGCGUUACCCGCAGAAGAAGCACCGGCUAACUCCGUGCCAGCAGCCGCGGUAAUUG